ACGAACGCUGGCGGCGUGCUUCACCCAUGCCAGUCGAACGGAAAGGCCCUGCUUUUGUGGGGUGCUCGAGUGGCGAACGGGUGAUUAACACGUGAGUAACCUGCCCUUGACUUUGGGAUAACUUCAGGAAACUGGGGCUAAUACCGGAUAGGAGCUCCUGCUGCAUGGUGGGGGUUGGAAAGUUUCGGCGGUUGGGGAUGGACUCGCGGCUUAUCAGCUUGUUGGUGGGGUAGUGGCUUACCAAGGCUUUGACGGGUAGCCGGCCUGAGAGGGUGACCGGCCACAAUGGGACUGAGAUACGGCCCAGACUCCUACGGGAGGCAGCAGUGGGGAAUAUUGCACAAUGGGCGGAAGCCUGAUGCAGCAACGCCGCGUGCGGGAUGACGGCCUUCGGGUUGUAAACCGCUUUCGCCUGUGACGAAGCGUGAGUGACGGUAAUGGGUAAAGAAGCACCGGCUAACUACGUG
rnacentral:rRNA from 1 species